rnacentral:tRNA from 1 species
GUCACUUUGCCGGAGUGGUUAACGGGAUCGCCUGCUAUUCAUAGCUGUUAGCGGUUGGGCUUUGCCCGCGAGUGUUCGAAUCGCUCAGGUGACG